rnacentral:rRNA from 1 species
AUUGAACGCUGGCGGCAUGCUUUACACAUGCAAGUCGAACGGUAACAGGCCUUCGGGUGCUGACGAGUGGCGCACGGGUGCGUAAUGCAUCGGAACGUACCCAGAGGUGGGGGAUAACGCAGCGAAAGCUGUGCUAAUACCGCAUGUGAUCUGAGGAUGAAAGCGGGGGACCGCGCAGCAAUGUUUGGCCUCGCGCCUUUGGAGCGGCCGAUGUCGGAUUAGCUAGUUGGUGGGGUAAAGGCCUACCAAGGCGACGAUCCGUAGCUGGUCUGAGAGGACGACCAGCCACACUGGAACUGAGACACGGCCCAGACUCCUACGGGAGGCAGCAGUGGGGAAUUUUGGACAAUGGGCGCAAGCCUGAUCCAGCAAUGCCGCGUGCGGGAAGAAGGCCUUCGGGUUGUAAACCGCUUUUGGCAGGAACGAAACGGUGUCCGCUAAUACCGGGCGCUAAUGACGGUACCUGCAGAAUAAGCACCGGCUAACUACGUG